GAUUAUACCUCGUGGUGUCUUGUGAGUUUCAUUGCAUUCUGAGAGCUGAGAAUGUGAGGUAGAGUCAGGAGUCACCAGGUUAGUUAUAUUUGGUUGUAGAAUGGUUUCUAAAGUUUUAGGGUAUAAUAUCUCACUAAUGCAUAUAAAAUAAAGUUCUAGACUAAAAACGUCUAUUAAUAUUAAAUAAUGUUGGCAGUUUGGAUAUGUAAAUAUGUUACGCUAAUUCGUGAUAGGCUGUAAAGUUUUUAAUGCCUCAAUUGGAUUGCUAUUAUACAUAUUUUCACAUUGUGUUUCUUGUAUGGGUGUCGUGCGAAUGGUCUGUGCGCGCUGUGGUGGUGGCUGUUGAGAAUAUGAUGUACACUUCUGUGUGCUAGUGAUGGGUGCAUAGUGAUUCAUAUUAUCUUUGUUUUCACUUUAUUGUAUUAGCAUCUAGGCACAUGUCACGCAUCGAGCAGAUAGAUGUCUAGGAGUAGCUUCGUCUUAUAGACGGGGUAUUCUUCUUCUACCUCUUCCUGUGAUGUAAGGAAUAAACAGAUUCACACCC